UACGGAGGGGGCAAGCGUUGUUCGGAUUUACUGGGCGUAAAGCGCACGUAGGCGGAUUGUUAAGUCGGGGGUGAAAUCCUGGAGCUCAACUCCAGAACUGCCUUCGAUACUGGCGAUCUCGAGUUCGGGAGAGGUGAGUGGAACUGCGAGUGUAGAGGUGAAAUUCGUAGAUAUUCGCAAGAACACCAGUGGCGAAGGCGGCUCACUGGCCCGAUACUGACGCUGAGGUGCGAAAGCGUGGGGAGCAAACAGG
rnacentral:rRNA from 1 species